GUUGGUGAACCAGCGGAGGGAUCAUUAGCGAGUUUUAAACUCCCAACCCUCGUGGACAUACCAAAUGUUGCCUCGGCGGGGCGCCCCUGGGCGCAGCCCUUACGGGGGCACCCGCCGGCCGCACGCACAAAAACCUGCUUUACAGUCGUAUUCUGAGUGGACUAUAAAUAAGUCAAAACUUUCAGCAACGGAUCUCUUGGUUCUG
rnacentral:misc_RNA from 1 species